CCUACGGGCGGCUGCAGUGGGGAAUAUUGGACAAUGGGCGAAAGCCUGAUCCAGCCAUGCCGCGUGUGUGAAGAAGGCCUUCGGGUUGUAAAGCACUUUCAGUGGGGAAGAAAGCCUUGGGGCUAAUACCCUCGAGGAAGGACAUCACCCACAGAAGAAGCACCGGCUAACUCCGUGCCAGCAGCCGCGGUAAUACGGAGGGUGCGAGCGUUAAUCGGAAUUACUGGGCGUAAAGCGCGCGUAGGCGGUCUGAUAAGCCGGUUGUGAAAGCCCCGGGCUCAACCUGGGAACGGCAUCCGGAACUGUCAGGCUAGAGUACAGGAGAGGAAGGUAGAAUUCCCGGUGUAGCGGUGAAAUGCGUAGAGAUCGGGAGGAAUACCAGUGGCGAAGGCGGCCUUCUGGACUGACACUGACGCUGAGGUGCGAAAGCGUGGGUAGCAAACAGGAUUAGAUACCCCAGUAGUC
rnacentral:rRNA from 1 species